UACGUAGGAUGCGAGCGUUGUCCGGAAUUACUGGGCGUAAAGCGCGCGUAGGCGGCGCCACGCGUCGGCGGUGAAAGCCCCCGGCUCACCUGGGGGAGGGCCGCCGAAACGGUGGGGCUUAGGAGGGCGGUAGGGGCAGACGGAACGCCCGGAGUAGCGGUGAAAUGCGUUGAGAUCGGGCAGAACACCAGUGGCGAAGGCGGUCUGCUGGGCCGACCCUGACGCUGAGGCGCGAAAGCCAGGGG
rnacentral:rRNA from 1 species